rnacentral:rRNA from 1 species
UACGUAGGGUGCGAGCGUUAAUCGGAAUUACUGGGCGUAAAGCGUGCGCAGGCGGCUCUAUAAGACAGAUGUGAAAUCCCCGGGCUUAACCUGGGAACUGCGUUUGUGACUGUAGGGCUUGAGUGCGGCAGAGGGGGGUGGAAUUCCACGUGUAGCAGUGAAAUGCGUAGAGAUGUGGAGGAACACCGAUGGCGAAGGCAGCCCCCUGGGUCGACACUGACGCUCAUGCACGAAAGCGUGGGGAGCAAACAGGAUUAGAUACCUUGUAGUCC